GGCUAUAGCUCAGCUGGGUGAGCGCCUGCCUUGCACGCAGGAGGUCAGCAGUUCGAUCCUGCUUAAGUCCACCA
rnacentral:tRNA from 1 species